rnacentral:rRNA from 1 species
UACGGGCAGACUAGAGUGCGGUAGGGGAGAUUGGAAUUCCUGGUGUAGCGGUGGAAUGCGCAGAUAUCAGGAGGAACACCGAUGGCGAAGGCAGAUCUCUGGGCCGUAACUGACGCUGAGGAGCGAAAGGGUGGGGAGCAAACAGGCUUAGAUACCCUGGUAGUCCACCCCGUAAACGUUGGGAACUAGUUGUGGGGUCCAUUCCACGGAUUCCGUGACGCAGCUAACGCAUUAAGUUCCCCGCCUGGGGAGUACGGCCGCAAGGCUAAAACUCAAAGGAAUUGACGGGGACCCGCACAAGCGGCGGAGCAUGCGGAUUAAUUCGAUGCAACGCGAAGAACCUUACCAAGGCUUGACAUAUACGAGAACAGGCCAGAAAUGGCCAACUCUUUGGACACUCGUAAACAGGUGGUGCAUGGUUGUCGUCAGCUCGUGUCGUGAGAUGUUGGGUUAAGUCCCGCAACGAGCGCAACCCUCGUUCUAUGUUGCCAGCACGUAAUGGUGGGAACUCAUGGGAUACUGCCGGGGUCAACUCGGAGGAAGGUGGGGAUGACGUCAAAUCAUCAUGCCCCUUAUGUCUUGGGCUUCACGCAUGCUACAAUGGCCGGUACAAAGGGCUGCAAUACCGUAAGGUGGAGCGAAUCCCAAAAAGCCGGUCCCAGUUCGGAUUGAGGUCUGCAACUCGACCUCAUGAAGUCGGAGUCGCUAGUAAUCGCAGAUCAGCAACGCUGCGGUGAAUACGUUCCCGGGUCUUGUACACACCGCC